GCCAGUGUGGCGGAAUUGGUAGACGCGCUGGAUUCAAAAUCCUGUUCCUUCUGGGAGUGUCGGUUCGAUUCCGACCACUGGCACCA
rnacentral:tRNA from 1 species